rnacentral:rRNA from 1 species
UGGGCUUGACAUCCCGGGAAUUCCAUGGAAACAUGGAAGUGCCCUUCGGGGAACCUGGAGACAGGUGCUGCAUGGCUGUCGUCAGCUCGUGUCGUGAGAUGUUGGGUUAAGUCCCGCAACGAGCGCAACCCUCAUCCUUAGUUGCCAUCAUUAAGUUGGGCACUCUAAGGAAACUGCCGGUGUUAAACCGGAGGAAGGUGGGGAUGACGUCAAGUCCUCAUGGCCCUUAUGUCCAGGGCUACACACGUGCUACAAUGGCCGGAACAAUGGGUCGCAAUCCCGCGAGGGGGAGCUAAUCCCAAAAAGCCGGUCUUAGUUCGGAUUGGAGUCUGCAACCCGACUCCAUGAAGCUGGAAUCGCUAGUAAUCGCGUAUCAGCAUGACGCGGUGAAUACGUUCCCGGGCCU